rnacentral:rRNA from 1 species
CUGGCGGCGCGCUUACACAUGCAAGUCGAGCGAGAAAGUGGAGCAAUCCAUGAGUAAAGCGGCGUACGGGUGAGUAACACGUGGAUAAUUUACCUCUUAGUGGGGAAUAACCCUGGGAAACCGGGGCUAAUACCGCAUGAGCCUGAGAAGGGAAAGCAAGCAAUUGCGCUGAGAGAGGAGUCCGCGGCCGAUUAGCUAGUUGGUAGGGUAAAGGCCUACCAAGGCGACGAUCGGUAGCCGGCCUGAGAGGGCACACGGCCACACUGGCACUGGGACACGGGCCAGACUCCUACGGGAGGCAGCAGUGGGGAAUCUUGCACAAUGGAGGCAACUCUGAUGCAGCGACGCCGCGUGAGCGAUGAAGCCCUUCGGGGUGUAAAGCUCUUUCGGCAGGAACGAUAAUGACGGUACCUGAAGAAGAAGCUGCGGCUAACUACGUGCCAGCAGCCGCGGUAAUACGUAGGCAGCGAGCGUUGUUCGGAAUUACUGGGCGUAAAGAGUGUGUANGCGGUGCUCUAAGUUCGGUGUGAAAUCUCCCGGCUUAACUGGGAGGGUGCGCCGGAAACUGGAGUGCUCGAGCGUGGGAGAGGAAAGCGGAAUUCCUGGUGUAGCGGUGAAAUGCGUA